GUGUAAACAUGAAAGUUUUAGAUAAUUAUGUUAGCUUUCCAAUGGCUUUGGUUUGAAGUCCAAAUGAUUUUUAGAACUUGAGUUAUGAUCAAAUUACUACACAUGGGUCAUGUGGAUUUUUGUGAAAACUUAUCGUAACUUUUUCUAUGAGCCGUGGAACUUUUCCAAACUUGAUAUUGGGUUUAAUGAAGUACUUAGAGUGAAUAAUUGAGUAUGCAUUUAUGUAUUUGGGAAUGUGAAUGUGUUGAUGGUUUAAGAAAUAUUUUGGGCGGAGUUGAAUCGGUGAAAACGGGGUUUGAGCUAGAUGUCGUUUUGUCUUGGGUUUUCUCAUACGAACUUAAGCUAUC
rnacentral:lncRNA from 1 species